rnacentral:rRNA from 1 species
UACGUAGGGUGCGAGCGUUGGCCGGAAUUACUGGGCGUAAAGAGCUCGUAGGUGGUUUGUCGCGUUGUUCGUGAAAACUCACAGCUCAACUGUGGGCGUGCGGGCGAUACGGGCAGACUAGAGUACUGCAGGGGAGACUGGAAUUCCUGGUGUAGCGGUGGAAUGCGCAGAUAUCAGGAGGAACACCGGUGGCGAAGGCGGGUCUCUGGGCAGUAACUGACGCUGAGGAGCGAAAUCGUGGGGAGCGAACAGG